UGGGGAAUAUUGCACAAUGGGCGCAAGCCUGAUGCAGCGACGCCGCGUGAGGGAUGACGGCCUUCGGGGUGUAAACCUCUUUCAGCUCCGACGAAGCGCAAGUGACGGUAGGAGCAGAAGAAGCACCGGCCAACUACGUGCCAGCAGCCGCGGUAAUACGUAGGGUGCAAGCGUUGUCCGGAAUUACUGGGCGUAAAGAGCUCGUAGGCGGUUUGUCGCGUCGUCUGUGAAAUUCUGCAGCUUAACUGCAGGCGUGCAGGCGAUACGGGCAGACUUGAGUACUACAGGGGAGACUGGAAUUCCUGGUGUAGCGGUGAAAUGCGCAGAUAUCAGGAGGAACACCGGUGGCGAAGGCGGGUCUCUGGGUAGUAACUGACGCUGAGGAGCGAAAGCGUGGGUAGCGAACAGG
rnacentral:rRNA from 1 species